rnacentral:rRNA from 1 species
UACGUAGGUGGCGAGCGUUGUCCGGAUUUACUGGGCGUAAAGGGCGCGUAGGCGGCAAUUCAAGUCAGUUGUGAAAUCUCCGAGCUUAACUCGGAACGGUCAACUGAUACUGUUUUGCUAGAGUACAGAAGGGGCAAUCGGAAUUCUUGGUGUAGCGGUGAAAUGCGUAGAUAUCAAGAGGAACACCUGAGGUGAAGACGGGUUGCUGGGCUGAUACUGACGCUGAGGCGCGAAAGCUAGGGUAGCAAACGGG